UGCUGGCUUUGGCGGCAUUUAUACGAAACUGGAACAGUACAGAGAAUAGCGUGGCCUCUGUCCAAGGAUGACACACAAAUUCAUGAAGCAGUCCAUUAUUUU
ensembl:snRNA U6 U6 spliceosomal RNA